GAACGCUGGCGGUAUGCUUAACACAUGCAAUUCUAACGCCCAGCAAUGGUAGUGGCGGACGGGUGAGUAACGCGUAGGAACGUAUCCAGAGGUGGGGGACAACCCCGGGAAACUGGGGCUAAUACCGCAUAUGACCUGAGGGUCAAUGCAGUGAUACGCCUUUGGAGCGGCCUGCGUCCGAUUAGGUAGUUGGUGGGGUAAUGGCCUACCAAGCCUGCGAUCGGUAGUUGGUCUGAGAGGACGAUCAGCCACACUGGGACUGAAGACACGUUCUAGACUCCUACGGGAGGCAGCAGUGGGGAAUAUUGGACAAUGGGCGAAAGCCUGAUCCAGCAAUGCCGCGUGUGUGAAGAAGGUCUUCGGAUCGUAAAGCACUUUCGGCAGGGACGAUGAUGACGGUACCUGUAGAAGAAGCCCCGGCUAACUUCGUGCCACCAGCCGCGGUAAUACGAAGGGUCGCAAGCGUUACUCGGAAUUACUGGUGCGUAAAGGGUGCGUAGGUGGUCGACCAGUCGGCUCUGAAAUUCCUGGGCUUAACCUGGUGACUGCGCUUGAUACUGUAGGGCUUAGGGCCGAGAGAGGGUGGUGGAAUUCCCAGUGUAGAGGUGAAAUUCGUAGAUAUUGGGAAGAACACCGGUGGCGAAGGCGCCCACCUGGCUCGGUACUGACAUGAGGCGCGACAGCGUGGGGAGCAAACAGGAUUAGAUACCCUGGUAGUCCACGCCGUAAACGAUGUGUGCUGGAUGUUGGGGUUCCUAGAACCUCAGUGUCGUAGCUAACGCGGUAAGCACAACGCCUGGGGAGUACGCCGCAAG
rnacentral:rRNA from 1 species